AUUAGUUUGGCAGAAAUAAUGUGAUAAAUUUAGGAUUUAUAUAUGGUUACUACCAACUAAAA
rnacentral:tRNA from 1 species